rnacentral:rRNA from 1 species
GACGAACGCUGGCGGCGUGCCUAAUACAUGCAAGUCGAGCGCAGGAAACUGACGGAACUCUUCGGAGGGAAGGCAGUGGAAUGAGCGGCGGACGGGUGAGUAACACGUAAGGAACCUGCCUCAAGGAUUGGGAUAACUCCGAGAAAUCGGAGCUAAUACCGGAUAGUUCAUCGGACCGCAUGGUCCGUUGAUGAAAGGCGCUCCGGCGUCACCUUGAGAUGGCCUUGCGGUGCAUUAGCUAGUUGGUGGGGUAACGGCCCACCAAGGCGACGAUGCAUAGCCGACCUGGGAGGGUGAUCGGCCACACUGGGACUGAGACACGGCCCAGACUCCUACGGGAGGCAGCAGUAGGGAAUCUUCCACAAUGGACGAAAGUCUGAUGGAGCAACGCCGCGUGAGUGAUGAAGGUUUUCGGAUCGUAAAACUCUGUUGUAAGGGAAGAACACGUACGAGAGGGAAUGCUCGUACCUUGACGGUACCUUACGAGAAAGCCACGGCUAACUACGUGCCAGCCGCCGCGGUAACAC